CACUCUCCUAACUGUCGCUCAGAACAUUGCCUCUCAGUCCCAGCACCUGCCCAGGCUUUGGAUGACCGACCACUGGCUCAGGAGCUGGGAGAGCUACUUGAGGGCCAAGUGAAAGCCUCAUUUUGUGAUUCAGGCACCAGCCAAAUACAGUUGCAUGAGGAAAAUUCAGUUGCCUGUGGCUUUGUUUUUUUUUUGUUUGUUUGUUUUUGAGUGCUUUGAAAAUCUUGCUGCCUCUGCCCCUUCUGAUUUGCAAGACACUGGAGAGGAAAUCAACUUGGUUAUCUGAGAGUGCCUCUCAGCUCUGCGUGAAGACUGCUUUCCUCGGAGGAGUCCAAACUUUAUCAAAAAGAGAAAUAUUUCCUUUUCUCUUCACAAUGAAAUUGGACUUGGAGGUCAGCGAACCAAUAGACUUUGGUUCUGGAGGUCAUCAACAUCUGAUUCGGGAAGCAGCAGAUAAAAGCAUCCAGUACCAAUCUGGUGAGCACUACACACCUUCAUCUUCAGCUGGGCCACAAGAAACUCGGGAGAAGCCAUGGCCAAAGGACACCGAGCAGUUGAAUACCUGUGUGAUAGAAAUUUCAGAUGACGUCACCCCAGGUGAUAACAAUGCAACUUUAGGCAAUCCUUUCUCAGACGCAUCUGUCCGCAGAGCUUUCAUUAUCAAAGUGUUCUUCCUCCUGUCAGUUCAGUUGUUGCUCACUGCGGUAAUUACCAGUGUGUUUAUUUUCUGGGAGGCUUUAAAAGUUUGGGUGCUCAAAAAUCCCUGGUUCAUCUCUGCAAUCUUCUCAGCAUUUUUUGCCAUACUUAUUAUACUUGAUUGCUGUGGGAAUCUCCGCCGUCAGGUGCCUGCAGAGUACAUUCUCCUGGGAUUCUUUACAGCUCUUCAAGGUCUGCUGCUAGGAGCCGUAUCAGUUUUCUACAAGGCCGAGGAAGUGUUAUGGGCAACAGCUGCAACCACUCUGGUGACGCUAGCACUCACUUUGUUUGCUCUACAAACAAAAUGGGAUUUUACCUGGCUAAAUGGAGCACUGUUCGUUUUCUGCUUCGUGCUUUUAAUCUAUGGAAUUACCUUAAUCUUCGUGCGAUCAUAUUGGCUGCAUCUAUUAUAUGCUGGACUCGGAACUGUGCUCUUCUCACUCUACUUGGUGAUCGAUGUGCAGCUCAUGCUGGGAGGGCACCGCCAUUAUUCCCUGGACCCUGAAGGGUAUGUUUUUGCUGUCCUGAACAUCCACUUGGACAUCAUCGACCUUUUCAUUUUUAUUCUGCGUCUGAUUGGACGGGGACGGUAGUCACGCAACCAAGGCUGGCUCGUGCGGAGAAGAGGAAGGAGGGGUGCUGUGGAGUGUUGCCGGGCUCAGGCAUGCAGAAGUCACCACUUCAGAAGCUCUUUUAUUUAAAAAAAUUUUAAGAAUACUUUUUUUUUGUCAAAUGAAACCAAGCAUUGAGUAGAUGAUAGCUGUAGCUGUUAUAUUUUCAGUUCCAUUGUCACGUAGCAAAACUUUCUGGGGACAUUUCUAAUUUUUAUAGAUUCAAAAGAUGAGUAUCAUAAUUACAUACUUACAAACAUUUGUAUAAUGCCCAUUCCUUUGUUGGAGUUUUCUGAACACUAUUUAAAGCUGUAAACAACAUAUCUCCACGUGAAUACAAUUGACUACAGAAACCUACAUUUACUUCUUUCUCUUCUCUUGAUUUGGACAUUCUGUGGGAAUA
rnacentral:sRNA from 1 species